GAUGAUUUAGCACGCUGCUCAGCUAGCUAAGUAGCUAGCUAGCUAGCUAACUUUUGCUAGCACCUCUGUCCUACCUAGCUAGUUUGGAAACAUCAGCAUCAGUAGAACACGCCUGACUCUCCUCCACCAGUCAUACAAGGAUAAUGGUCUAAUGCCUCCCAUUUAAAAGAGAGCUGGCCCAAGCAAGAACAGGUUACACCUGAAGCAUGAGGACUUACAGCGAGUUGUGGACUUCAUCAAUAACCAUGUAGAGGAUAAUGCAAUAGUAUUAGCAGGAUGCUACCCAGGACACAUCUCAUGGGACAAAAGCAGCGGUGUGGCAUCUCUACAAGGAAUCGAUAACAACACUUGAGGUAUGUGUAGUCUGGCUGUCUUCCUUCAGGAAUCUGUGUAGAAAAUGUAUGCCCCACAUCUCAAGCACGAAGCCCCAGACAGAUCUGUGCUAGCAGUGCAAGAGUAACAACUUUUAGGUCUUCAGACCUGCCAAUCUGCCAUAAACUGUUAAAUCAACCAAGCUGAAGAAGCAAAAGCAGCAUCUCCUGCUUGUUCAGAGUGAGCGGUCUGUCUACCAGAAGAUGGUUUCUGACUGCAAGACCACCUGUCAAGACCUGCAGUUGUCCCUGGGGGCCCUACUGAACCAGCAAGCAAAGACAUCAGGAUGCAUUACAGCUUUGAUUUUGCUCAACAA
rnacentral:lncRNA from 1 species